GACGAACGCUGGCGGCGUGCCUAAUACAUGCAAGUCGAACGCAGUGGGGACGGGUGAGUAACACGUGGGUAACCUCCCAUCAGAGGGGAUAACACUUGGAAAUAGGUGCUAAACCGAUACUGAUGGCUGCACCCGCGGUGCAUUAGCUAGUUGGUGCGGUAACGGCUCACCCAGGCCACGAUGCAUAGCCGACCUGGGAGGGUGGUCGCGCCCACUGGGACUGAUCCGCGGCCCAGACUCCUACGGGAGGCAGCAGUAGGGAAGCUUCGGCAAGUGACUAAAGGCUGACCUAGCAACUCCGCGUGAGUGAAGGAGGUUUUCGGAUCGUAAAACUCUGUUGUUAUAGAAGCGGUAUCUAACCAGAAAGCCACGGCUAACUACGUGCCAGCAGCCGCGGUAAUUC
rnacentral:rRNA from 1 species